UGGCAGUUAAAGAACCGAAACAGCAAUAAGACUGCGCAGCCACAUUUUCCUAGUGCCACCAACUGGGCGUUAAGCUGACUAACGUUUUGAAAGCCCAGCCCAUUUCGUUCACAGCAGGCAAGGCAGG
ensembl:misc_RNA